rnacentral:tRNA from 1 species
GUGGCUGUAGCUCAAGUGGUUAGAGCGCCGGACUGUGGCUCCGGAGGCUGCGGGUUCAAGUCCCGUCAGCCACC